ACGGGAGGCAGCAGUGAGGAAUAUUGGUCAAUGGGCGAGAGCCUGAACCAGCCAAGUAGCGUGAAGGAUGACUGCCCUACGGGUUGUAAACUUCUUUUGCCGGGGGAUAAAAAACGGGACGUGUCCCGUCUUGCAGGUACCCGUGCGAAUAAGGACCGGCUAAUUCCGUGCCAGCAGCCGCGGUAAUACGGAAGGUCCGAGCGUUAUCCGGAUUUAUUGGGUUUAAAGGGAGCGUAGGCGGUCUGUUAAGCGUGCUGUGAAAUGUCCUGGCUCAACCAGGGAGUUGCAGCGCGAACUGGCGGACUUGAGUGCGCAGGAAGUUGGCGGAAUUCGUCGUGUAGCGGUGAAAUGCUUAGAUAUGACGAAGAACUCCGAUUGCGAAGGCAGCUGACUGUAGCGUUACUGACGCUGAUGCUCGAAAGUGCGGGUAUCGAACAGGAUUAGAUACCCUGGUA
rnacentral:rRNA from 1 species